rnacentral:rRNA from 1 species
GACGAACGCUGGCGGCGUGCUUAACACAUGCAAGUCGAACGGAAAGGCCCUGCUUUUGUGGGGUGCUCGAGUGGCGAACGGGUGAGUAACACGUGAGUAACCUGCCCUUGACUUUGGGAUAACUUCAGGAAACUGGGGCUAAUACCGGAUAGGAGCUCCUGCUGCAUGGUGGGGGUUGGAAAGUUUCGGCGGUUGGGGAUGGACUCGCGGCUUAUCAGCUUGUUGGUGGGGUAGUGGCUUACCAAGGCUUUGACGGGUAGCCGGCCUGAGAGGGUGACCGGCCACAUUGGGACUGCGAUACGGACCAGACUCCUACGGGAGGCAGCAGUGGGGAAUAUUGCACAAUGGGCGGAAGCCUGAUGCAGCAACGCCGCGUGCGGGAUGACGGCCUUCGGGUUGUAAACCGCUUUCGCCUGUGACGAAGCGUGAGUGACGGUAAUGGGUAAAGAAGCACCGGCUAACUACGUG